AAAUUCUAAACAAUUGUGUUUAAAAAUUAUUCCUGUAGUAGUGUGCAGAUAUUUUAGUGCAUGUGGUUUACAAAUUAAUUACAAAGUUUUAUAUUGUAGGAAAUGUAACUACUGUCGCAUGCUCAAAGGAGUAAAAUGGCCAUAACAUCCAAAGUGAUCUGCAUUUUAAUGUAUUUCACAUUUAUAAAUUGGAGCGAUCACAAGUAGUGAUGUCCCCAACGGUUCGCCGAACGGUUCGCCACGGAUGGCGAACAUAUGCGCUGUUCGGUCCGCCCCCUAUUCGUCAUCAUUGAGUAAACUUUGACAAUGUACCUCACAGUCAG